UGACUUUGAUCCUUUCCUUCCCCCGGAUGCCCGAGGAGCAUGAUAAGACGGGUGACCUGGGUCCACCCCCUGCUCUGAUCCUAACUGCUGACCCAGACUUCAGAUUCAAAGCUGACUGAGGACAGUGUAUCAUUUAUUCCUGAACACCAGCUCCACAACUAGUAGAACAACAACCACAUUGAUGUGAGCUCCUCAUACAUCUUCAGCCAAGGCACACAGAAAAAGGAAAUGCCUGACAAACAACCCUUCUGAGUGAAGAAUGAUGGGAUCUAAUGCCAGGACUCUGUUGAUUGGCCAGUGGAUAUCAACACAUAUGAUGUAAGCAGAGACUUGAAAAGCAUUUAGCAUUGCCCUCUUGCUGCACUUGGAGAUAACCAUGUGAACAAGCCCGAGCUAUCCUGCUGGAAGAUGAGAGACACAUGGAUAAGAACUAACAACCUGCCCAACCAUCAGACUUGCGAAUGAGGCCAUCUUUGGUCAUCCAGUCACAAGACACCCCACAGAUGUACAUUGGCAAGAGUACAACAGGAGUCAGCCGGGACAACCCAGCCCAGAAGAGCUGCCCAGACAACCUACAGAAUCAUGAGCUAAAUAUGACACUCAAGGUGUAGGCAAAUAUGCACAGAGUCUAAGACUUAGGCCCAUUUUCCUAAAAAUUCCCUUUUAUUAUUGAACCACCGAAAUAAUUUUUUAAUAUUCUUAAACAACCAAAAUUGUGGUAAGCAUGUUCAGGUGCAGUGGAGACUGGAUAGUGUAUUUAGGACUCUCCUGGUGUGCCUCAUUACCUACCAAUUACACCAGACCAUCUGACAAAGCCUGCUCUUAACCAUACAGGUAACUGUAUUCGAAAUGACACUUUUGAAUAUUUUGAGGACUAAAUGAGUGUGUGUCUGUGUGUGUGUGUGUAUGUUUGUGUAUAGUAAAUGCUGUCUGUGCUCUGUCCCCAUUCCCUACACGUCCUUCUCAUGUUUAUGUGUGUGCAUUCACUCCAGCAGCCAGGACCUCCUUUCUUUGGGAGAAACUAUUCCUCACCCAACCAAACCACAGGGCUCUCUCAUGGACUGACAGUCUUAGUCCACCCCUAACCCAGCCACAGGUGACUGAUCCAUCAACAGGCAAGUGACCCAAAUCACACCAACCAGAAUCCUGGCCUGGAAUUUUCAAACUAAAGCCUAGGAGAGACAGAUGGUUAGACUUAUCAACAAGGACCUCUCAGCAGCUGUGUUCCCUUCCAGUCUGAUAUUCAGAGAGACAGAGAAAAAAAGAGACCAGUAGAGUAUAUGUCAUGGGCCUUCCCCAUGAGAUGAGACACCAAUGUGCCUUUUUGUCCCAAGUCAGUUAGAGGUAUGUUUCUGUCACUUGCAACCAACAGAUCUCUGGUUGACUGACACCUCUGGAUUCCUGGUUUCCUAGCACUCUUGGUCUUAUUUGAAAUCCACUUGCUGAAGCCACCUAUUAGACCUAGACUGACUGCUCCUUCUUGGUCAUAUCUUGGAUAUGGUGUUUCCCCUCAGGGUUCCUGAAGUCUGUUCUUUGUCCACUCAUGCAGUGUGGUCCCAAGAAGAAUAAAAACAUGAAGUUCACAGCACUGCGGAGAACAGCAUCAGCCUUUUCCUAACUAAAGCUCUUUACUUCGUUAGACAUUAGCUCCCUCUUCUUUGCUCAGCCUCCUCAGCCACUAGUGACCAGCAUUAACCUUGAGGUUGUCUAAAGAUGAAAGAAGAGGCCUAGACAAUUCAUGACCAAAACACAAUCAUAGCGACUCUGUUUGACAUAGAGAGGAAUUGGACAACAUUGGAUCAUUCAUAUGAAUAUGUGCAUGUUUAAUUAAGUUGGCAGAGACAACACUCUUGCCAUGUGACACAGCGGCUCUCAAACUUUACUUGUUUCAGAAACAUCUGUGAUGCUUUUUCUAUCUACAGAUACCACAGUCCCUCCCCAGACCUCUUGGAUACAGGCUUUGAAAGUGGGUUAAAAAUAAGAGCAAAUGAUAAAAAUCACCAGAUUAAAAAUGGGCAAAGGACUUGAAUAGUCAUUUCUCCAAAGAUGAUGAACAAAUGGCCAAAAAGCACAUGGAAGAUGCUCAUCAUCAUUAAUCAUUAGGGAAAUGCAAAUCAAAACACAAUGAAAUACCACCUCUGGUUGAAUCCACAGAUAUGGAACCUACAGAAAUGGAGGGCCAACUGUAUUUGUCCUUUUGCAAUUGGCUUAUUUCACUAUUUUUAUUUGUAUUAUUUUUUAUUGUUUUUUCUGAAUAUUUUCAAUAAUACCAAUAAAAAACAGUUUAACAACUAUUUACAUAGCAUUUACAUUGUAUUCGGUAUUAUAAGUUAUCUAGAGAUGAUUUCAAGUAUUAAGGAGGAUGUAUGUAGGGUAUGUGCAAAUACAACACCAUUUUAUAUAAGAGACUUUAGAGUAUCCAUGGAUUUUGGUAUCUGUAUUGUACAAUUCCACUUAUAUGAGAUACUUAUAGUCAAAAUCAUAGAGACAGAAGGUAGAAUGGUGGUUGCCAGGGGCUGGGGGGUGGGGGGAAUAGGAGUCAUUGUUUAAUGGGUAUAGGGGUUCAGUCUUACAAGAGGAAAAGUGUUCUGGAGAUGGAUAGUGCUGAUGGUUGCACAACAAUAAGAAAGCACUUAAUACCACUGAACUGCACACUUAAAAACGGAAAAGAUGGUAAAUUUUAUAUCAUGUGUAUUUUACCACAAUAAAAUAAAAAU
rnacentral:lncRNA from 1 species